UAAUACCUGAUAAGCCCACGGGGUCUUCGGACCUUGCGGGAAAAGGGGGGGACCUUCGGGCCUUCUGUCGUCGGAUGAGUCCGCGUACCAUUAGCUAGUUGGUGGGGUAAAGGCCUACCAAGGCGACGAUGGUUAGCUGGUCUGAGAGGAUGAUCAGCCACACUGGGACUGAGACACGGUCCAGACUCCUACGGGAGGCAGCAGUGGGGAAUUUUGCGCAAUGGGGGAAACCCUGACGCAGCAACGCCGCGUGAGUGAUGAAGGCCUUCGGGUCGCAAAGCUCUGUCAGAGGGAAAGAAGUGUGCCAUGGCUAAUAUCCAUGGCACUUGACGGUACCCUCAAAGGAAGCACCGGCUAACUCCGUGCCAGCAGCCGCGGUAAUACGGAGGGUGCGAGCGUUGUUCGGAAUUAUUGGGCGUAAAGCGCGUGUAGGCGGUUUUUUAAGUCUGAUGUGAAAGCCCUGGGCUCAACCUGGGAAGUGCAUUGGAAACUGGAAGACUUGAGUACGGGAGAGGGCAGUGGAAUUCCUAGUGUAGGAGUGAAAUCCGUAGAUAUUAGGAGGAACACCGGUGGCGAAGGCGACUGCCUGGACCGAUACUGACGCUGAGACGCGAAAGCGUGGGGAGCAAACAGGAUUAGAUACCCUGGUAGUCCACGCCGUAAACGAUGAGUACUAGGUGUCGCGGGUA
rnacentral:rRNA from 1 species